rnacentral:ribozyme from 1 species
GAGGCUCUCAUUGAAUUAAUUGUCUUGGAAGGAGGAAAACGUUCUGAGAGAGAGACAAUAAGGGAGCAUGGUCUUAACUGAA